rnacentral:rRNA from 1 species
GACGAACGCUGGCGGCGUGGAUUAGGCAUGCAAGUCGAACGGUAUCAUCCUUUCGGGGAUGAGAGAGUGGCGAACGGGUGAGUAACACGUAGGUGAUCUACCCUCAAGACGGGGACAACCCAGGGAAACUUGGGCUAAUACCGGAUCGUGAGCUAUCGUGAGAUAGUUUGAAAGGUGGCUUCGGCUGCCGCUUGAGGAUGAGCCUGCGUCCUAUUAGCUAGUUGGUGAGGUAACGGCUCACCGAGGCAGUGAUAGGUAGGCGGCCUUAACGGGUGGUCGCCCACACUGGGAUUGAGAUACGGCCCAGACUCCUACGGGAGGCAGCAGUCGAGAAUAGUCUACAAUGGUCGAAAGACUGAUAGUGCGACGCCGCGUGAACGAAGAAGCCCUUCGGGGUGUAAGUUCUUUUAUAUGUGAGCAGUGACAUCUAUAUUAAUAGUAUGGGUGUAGAGAUAUUAGCAUAUGAAUAAGCAACGGCUAACUCCGUGCC